rnacentral:lncRNA from 1 species
GGCUGCCCAGGGAGAGCCCCAGGUCUAGUUCAAACUUGUAUUGGUUGGUGGCGGUGGUACUGGAAAAACUACUUUGGUGAAACAUCAUUUGACUGGUGAAUUUGAGAGGUAUGUAGCCACAUUUGAGAGGUAUGGGUGUUGAGGUUCAUCACCCAAGUGUUCCACACCAACAGAAGAUGUAUUAAGUUCAAUAAAUGGGAUACAGCCGGCCAGGAGAAAUGUGGUGAACAGAGAUGGUUAUUACAUCGAACCCAUAGCCCAGUGUGCCAUCAUAAUGUUUGAUGUAACACCAAGAGUUACGUACAAGAAUGUGCCUAACUGGCAUAGAGAUUUGGUGCCAAUGUGUGAAAUCAUCACCAUGAUGUUGUGUGGCAACAAAGUGGAUAUUAAGGACAGGUAAGUGAAGGCAAAAUCUAUUGUCUUCCACCGAAAGAAGAAUCUUCAGUACUAUGACAUUACUGCCAAAACUAACUACAACUUUGAAAAGCCCUUUCUCUGGCUUGCUAGGAAGCUCAUUGGAGGCCCUAACUUGGGGUUUGCUACCCUGUACUCCCCUACCUGAGGUUGUCAUGGACCCAGCUUUGACAGAGCAAUAAGAGCAUGAGUUAGAGUUUGCUCAGACAGCUGCUCUCCUGGAUGAGGAUGAUUACCUGUG